GCUGCUGGCAUGCUUGACUGCACGGGUCAUUCCUCCCUGCUUCUGAGGGUCCCCAAGCCCCCAGACCAGCCAGGCUCGGGCUGGUCCCCCUUUGCUUGCUGAGGUGCUCCUUCCUUCGUCCAGGCCCGAUGAGGUGUCUGUCUGCCUGGGAAACCAGCCAAGGAGACCCGGUCCCCCACAGUCGGGCCGGGGAAUGGGAAGGAGCCAGGGUGCCGCACGCAGGGGCCUCAGAGAGCGAGGAGGACGCCCCUUCUUAGAGAUCGCUCCGACCUGAAGGAGAGGCUCCUGGCAACCAACACUCAAUUUUCUGGUUCUCUGAAUUCAACUGCUCUAGGUACUUCAGAGUCUCCUUCCCGGAAAAUUAAACAAACCACCAGAAGAUUGCUUGGUGAGCACGGAAUGAGAACAAAAGGACACAAGAAAUCU